UCUCCGUUGGUGAACCAGCGGAGGGAUCAUUACAGGACUCGCAAGACUACUACAACCCUGUGAACUUAACUAUAAGCACGUUGCUUCGGCGGGUGUCUCGGAGGGGGUUCUCCCUUCCCGAGACGCUAAACCCGCCGGCAGCCUACUAUACUCUGUCUCUUUGCGUUAGCUCCUCGUGUACAAUCAAACAAGUUAAAACUUUCAACAACGGAUCUCUUGGUUCUG
rnacentral:misc_RNA from 1 species